CAGGGACAGCGGCAGGUGGGGAGUUUGACUGGGGCGGUACACCUGUCAAAGCGUAACGCAGGUGUCCUAAGGUGAGCUCAGGGAGGGUGGAAAUCUCCCGUGGAGCAGAGGCUUCCAGCACUGCUCAAGAAAUCUAACAGCUAUGGCUUCUGAUGAUAAUCUGGUACUGCUGAGUGUGAUAUGCGAACAUAUAAAAUAUAGUUAG
rnacentral:ncRNA from 1 species